UUGGGAAUAUUGCACAAUGGGCGCAAGCCUGAUGCAGCCAUGCCGCGUGUAUGAAGAAGGCCUUCGGGUUGUAAAGUACUUUCAGCGGGGAGGAAGGGAGUAAAGUUAAUACCUUUGCUCAUUGACGUUACCCGCAGAAGAAGCACCGGCUAACUCCGUGCCAGCAGCCGCGGUAAUACGGAGGGUGCAAGCGUUAAUCGGAAUUACUGGGCGUAAAGCGCACGCAGGCGGUUUGUUAAGUCAGAUGUGAAAUCCUCGGGCUCAACCUGGGAACUGCUUCUGAUACUGGCAAGCUUGAGUCUCGUAGAGGGGGGUAGAAUUCCAGGUGUAGCGGUGAAAUGCGUAGAGAUGUGGAGGAAUACCGGUGGCGAAGGCGGCCCCCUGGACAAAGACUGACGCUCAGGUGCGAAAGCGUGGGGAGCAAACAGG
rnacentral:rRNA from 1 species